UACGUAGGGGGCAAGCGUUGUCCGGAUUUAUUGGGCGUAAAGAGCGUGUAGGCGGCCAGGUAGGUCCGUUGUGAAAACUCGAGGCUCAACCUCGAGACGUCGGCGGAAACCCUCUGGCUAGAGUCCGGAAGAGGAGAGUGGAAUUCCUGGUGUAGCGGUGAAAUGCGCAGAUAUCGGGAGGAACACCAGUAGCGAAGGCGGCACUCUGGGCCGGUACUGACGCUGAGGAGCGAAAGCGUGGGGAGCAAACAGG
rnacentral:rRNA from 1 species